AACCCUUCCUUGGGUGACCUCACAACCUGUGAUCUUCUCCGUGUCCCAGUCUCAGUCUGUCCCCGAAACAGUAUCUUCUAACUGGGGGCCUUUGACCACCACCUUCGUGAAGUUCAAGGUCUGGGUCUCUGACGAGUUCACUGCUGGUAAAUUUUUAGUUUGUCGGGAUAGCUAUAAAUGUAUGUUUGCCAAGGCUUCCACUCCUUUGGUUUUUAUGUGGCUUGUUUCCUGAGUGAACAGGCCAGAGUACAGACUGAUUUCUUUCACAAAAAUCAUUAGCUGGUUUACAGUCAUCACGGUUCGUGGUCUUAAUUUUGCCAUAUUUUAAUUUUAUGUAUUUUAUUGCGGUUUUAUUUACAUCCUCUUGAUGCGUACAUAUUAGAACAGGAGGAUCGUGUUGUUUUCAGUUCAGUGUGCGGGUAAGAUGUUAUCCCUUUAGUCCAGUGACUCCAAGAAGAGUUGGUUUGAAGGCUAGAUGCAGCCCCCAUUCACAGGGUGGGCUUGAAGACAGACUCCCAGGAGAGAAGGGACAGCAAUCAGUGUUUAUUGAGUGCGCACCUGGUGUUAGCUGUCGUCUUAGACACUGUCCACCUAUUAUUUCAUCUCCUAAGAUACGCUCUCUUAUUUUCCCACUUUGCACGAGAGGGAACCGAGGCUCAGACUCUUCCCGCUGUGCAGUCCAGAGCGACCAGAUCCAGUGCAGCAUCAGUGUGUGUUCCCAUGAAGCCUCCGACCUUGGGGUCCUCACUGCCUGACCUUCGUAAAAAUAUUUGAGGGGUAACUUGUGUGCAUCAUCAACACAUGUCUUCACUGUGUGGUUCAACAAACUGUGACAAAGCAUAUACUCAUUUAACUGACACCCCAGUCAAGACGUAGUGCAUUAACUUCACGAGAAAGCUCCCCCUGCCCGCUUCCAGCCACUCCGCUCCACCCACAGCCAUCCGCUUUCUUGAUUUCUUCACCAUAGAGUAGUUUUUCCUUGUUCUAGAACUUCAUGUACAUGGAAUUACUUGGCACACUAUUUGAGGCUUCCUUCAUUCAGCAUACUGCUUUUUUAAAAAAGAUUCAUCCAUGUCGUAUGUAUCGAGAGUUCACUCUUUUUUUAUUACUGAUAUUAUUAUCUGGAAAUGCUGUCAUUUAUUUAUUAAUUUACCCAUUAAUAGACAUUUGGGUUCUUGCCAGUUUGUUGAAUGCUGUCAACAUUCUACAUCUUGGUGCAGUUGUGUGUUUUCAUUUCUCUUGAGUUAAUAACUGGGGUUGGGAUAGUUUGGUUAGGGGAGGGGAUAUGUUUAAUGUCAUAAGUAACUGCCAGACUGCUUACCAACGUGGCCGUACUGUUUAAUGUUCUCACCACCAGUGUGUGAGAGUUCUGGUUGCUCUACAGUUGCCAAAAUUUGCCGUGUCAAGUUUUUUCUAGGGGUCGUGUUUGGCACCUCAUUUUUGCUUUAAUUUGGAUUGCCCUAAUGAUUAGAGAUGAAGGGCACGUUUCCAGUGCUAAUUGAGCCUUUGAAUAUCUUCCUUUAAGUAGUGUCUACUCCAGUCUUUUGCCCGUUUUUGAUUUUUUAAAAAAUUGGAUUAAUCCUAUACAUACUAUUGAUUUGUAAGGGUUCUUUAUAUAUUCUGGAUGUCCGUUGUCAGAUAUAUAUUUUUAUAAAUGUUUUCCUCCAGUCCGUGGUUGGUUUGUACAUUUUCUUCUUUUUAAACCACUUUAUUAAAGUCUGAUUGGUAUAUAAAAAGCUGUAGGUAUUUUAAAAUGUCUUUUCGUUUUUCUUAAGUCUAACUUAUCCUUACAUUUAGAGUAAACAUAAAAGAAAAAAAAUCUUCUAUGUUUAUUAUUGUCAUUGUCCUAUCUACCCUGAGGUGGCCCAGAUGAUUUCUUCUGUUUUCUUCUAGUAGUUUUGUCAUUUGGUUUUUACCUUAACUCCGUGACUCAUCUUGAGUUGAUUUUCCUAUGUGGAUUGAGGUUGGGUUUCCUUUUUUGCCAUAAGGACAUCAAGUUGCUCCAGCGCCAUUUGUUGAAAAGAUUCCUUUCCCUAUUGAAUUGUGUUGGUAACUUUGUGAAGAACCAAAUUACCGUGUAUAUGUACGUCCAUCCCUGGGCUUUAUUAUGUUCCAUUGGUUUCCACUUAUCUCUGUGUGCAUCCCAGGCCGACACUGAUCUGUGCCUUUACAUUUCCAUAUACCUUUCAGGAGUAGGCUGUCAGUUUCUAAAUAGAACACCCACUGGGAUUUCGAUUAGUACCGUAUUACAUGUACAGAUCCAUUUGAAGGAGAAUUGAUAUCCUAAUAAUAAUGAGUUUUCAAAUCCAUGAACAAAUCUCCCCAUUUAUUAGGAACUUCCAUAGUGUCCAUCAGCGAAGUUUCAUAGUUUUCAGAGUCCGAAUCUUGCGUAUAUGUUAAAUUUACCCUUAAGUAUUUUUGGUGCUGUUGUAAAUGGUAUAAUUUAAAACUUUUAUUUUAUAAUAGUUCAUUAUUGAUACGUUGAAAUAGAUUGUAUAUUUACCGUGUGUCCUGUGAUCUUGCUAAUUCACUUACUCAUUCUAGAACUUGUUUUACAGAUUCCUUAAGAUUUUCUACGAUAUGGAACUAUGUCAUCUGAAAAGAAAGGUGUUCUUACCUCUUUCUUCUAAAUUUAUAUGCCUUUUAUAUCUUAUUUCUGCCUUAUUUGCUCUGGCUAGGAUUUUCUGUUAAAUGUUAAAAGUAGUGAGGGCAGAAAUCCUUAUUUUAUUCCUCAUCUUACAGCAAAAUGUCAUUUUCUAUUAAGUAUGACAUUAGUUGUGGUUUUUAAAAAAUUGAUACUUUUUAUCACAUUAAGAGAUUUCCCUUUCUCAGUUUACUGGGAGUUUUUUUUUUUUUAAUUAUGAAUGGGAGUUGAAUUUUGAAUUUUGUCACAAUCUUUUCUGAAUCCAUGGAGAUGCCUGACCAUAAUGAGUUGGGAACUGUCCCCUCCUACUCUGUUCCCUGAAAGAGUUUGUGUGAGAUUGAUAAUAUUUAUUCCUUAAACAGAUGAUGGAAUUUAUCACUGAGAUCACAUAGGCCUGGGAUAUUCUCUGUAGAAAAUUCCACAAGGAAGCUUUUUAAUUGUGAAUUCAUUUUUUUCAACAGAUAGAGCACUGUUCAAGUUUUCCAUGCUUCUUGUGAGGUGCCGGUGAUUUAUAUCUUUCAAGGAAAGACAGAUGAAGGAGCUUCAUCUAUGAUAAACUUAUUGUGAUAGUUCCUUAUCAUUUUAAUGUCUGUAAUGAAAUAUUCUUUCAUUAUUGAUAUUAAUAAUUCAUGUUUCUCUUUUUGUUCUUGAGCAGAUUUGCUAAUAGUGCUCAAUUUAAAAAAUAUUUUUAAAGAAUCUACUUUUGGUUUUGUUGAUUUUUCACUAUUGUUUGAUUUUUAUUUCAUCACUUUCCCCUUUACUGUUGUCUCCUUUUAGUUACUUGAUUUAAAUUUGCUCUCCCUUUUCUAGCUUCUUCCUGGUAUUGACUCAUUGAUUUUAGACCGUGUUAUUUUCUAAUACAAAUUUUUAAAGCUAUAAAUUUUCCUCUAAGUACUGCUUUAAGGGCAUCGAUCACCUAAAUUUUGAUACAUUGUUUUUUUUCAUUGUCACUCAGAUAAAAUUAUUUUUUCAUUUCUCUAGUAUCUUUUUCUUUGAACCAUGGAUUAUUUAGAAGCAUGUUGUAUAUUUUAAGAAACAGUUGGCUAUUUUAUAGUUAUUUUUUCCUAUCAAUUUCGUAUUUCAUCCCACUAUUUCACAUUGACCUCUUUCAGUGCUCUUGUCAUACCUGAAUGCUCUUUGUCAUUUAAAUCCUGAUAGUGGGUUGAUACAGUAAAUAAUGCUGCAGUAGCAAUAUUUUGUGUGCAUGCAUAUAUUCUUGUCUUCACUCUUUGCUUCAGACAUAUUAUCAGAAGUGAAAUUACAGAUUUAAAGGGUCUCUAACUUUUAAAAUAAUCUUUUCUUUUUAAUAUUUUUGCCUAGCUGUCUUUGGCGUGUCUGCCACUCUUGCCUCAUCUCUGUGACUAAGAUUCCUGUUUCCCUGGAGUUUCCCUCUGGAUUCCUAUCUGCAUGGAAUACAAAGCCCACAGGGCCUACUGAAGUUGUAUAGUUUGGCUGUUUUGGGGACCGUAAGAUUUAGAAACCUUCUAGAUUCCACCGGAGAUUAACAGCCUCUCCCGUUUCCUGUCUCCAAAUACACUUUCGCUUUCAAACAUGAGGGUUCUUGGAGUAAUUGCUACUCAAAAAUUCUGACCACUUUCUUUGAAUUUCAGUCUUUAAAAAAUUUCACGUCUCCGUAGAAGGGGUCUUAAAGAUCAUUUUCUUGGCACCCUUGAUUUCUUAGUAUCGACCUAGGAUUUUUGAGCAAUCAAGAGGCUCACAGGAGGCUCGCAGGCUGUAACAUUUCCUUUGUUUCUGAACAUCUUAGAACGCCAGACCCACCUAGGGUCCUGAAAUCAGGGCAUAGGGUUGCUUCAGUUUCAGCUUCUUCACAGCAGAGUAGAAUCUCCAGAUAUCUGAGAACCCGUAUCUUCCCCCACAUUCCAGCCUGUCUCUAACAGAGUCAUUACAUUUAUAGUAAACAUACCAACUCACCUCUUUUCUAAGGCUAAUUAUUAGUCCAAGGUGCAGAUGUAACUAUGCUGGGAUUUAUAAUGAUGACAAACAGGGCUCUAAAAUGUAUGCCUAGUUUACGUGGGCUUCUUCAGAUUGUGGUGUAAGUAAGGGUUCAUUAACCGUAGUAGCUCACACAUAGUAACAACCUCCAUAUUCAAGCAUAAAUCAGCUUUUAAACACAUGUGACUCACAUGUAGUCACUACUUCAUCUUGGUGAGUCCUACUCCUCUGUCUGCUGGAUAGAGCUGAACCUGCUGCCACUAAAGCUAGCCCAAUUUAAAAGGAGGAGAAUUGGGCUUUUACUCUCAAUGGGAGGAGUGCAAAUACUGCCAUGUUUAAUUUUG
rnacentral:lncRNA from 1 species